rnacentral:misc_RNA from 1 species
GAUGAAGAACGUAGCGAAAUGCGAUACGUAAUGUGAAUUGCAGAAUUCAGUGAAUCAUCGAAUCUUUGAACGCAUAUUGCGCUCUUUGGUAUUCCGAAGAGCAUGCUUGUUUGAGUAUCAGUAAACACCUCAAAGACUUCAAUUUGUUUUGAAUGGCUUUGGACUUGAGCAAUCCCAACACCAGUCUUUACGAUCAGUGGAGGGUUGCUUGAAAUGCAGGUGCAGCUGGACAUUCUCCUGAGCUAAAAGCAUAUUUAUUUAGUCCCGUCAAACGGAUUAUUACUUUUGCUGCAGCUAACAUAAAGGGAGUUUGACCGUAUUGGCUGACUGAUGCAGGAUUUCACAAGGGUCGGCAACGAUUCUUGUAAAACUCGAUCUCAAAUCAAGUAAGACUACCCGCUGAACUUAAGCAUAUCAAUAAGCGGAGGA